GUGGGGAAUUUUGGACAAUGGGCGAAAGCCUGAUCCAGCAAUGCCGCGUGUGUGAAGAAGGCCUUCGGGUUGUAAAGCACUUUUGGCAGGGAAGAAACAGUGCGUGCUAAUACCAUGCGCGAAUGACGGUACCUGCAGAAUAAGCACCGGCUAACUACGUGCCAGCAGCCGCGGUAAUACGUAGGGUGCAAGCGUUAAUCGGAAUUACUGGGCGUAAAGCGUGCGCAGGCGGCUUUGUAAGACGGAGUGGAAAGCCCCGGGCUCAACCUGGGAAGUGCAUUCGUGACUGCAAGGCUAGAGUGUGUCAGAGGGAGGUGGAAUUCCGAGUGUAGCAGUGAAAUGCGUAGAGAUGCGGAGGAACACCGAUGGCGAAGGCAGCCUCCUGGGAUAACACUGACGCUCAGGCACGAAAGCGUGGGGAGCAAACAGGAUUAGAAACCCGGGUAGUCC
rnacentral:rRNA from 1 species